AUACUUACCUGGCAGGGGAGAUACCAUGAUCUCGAAGGUGAUUUCCCCAAGACAAGGCUCAUCCAUUGCACUCCGGAUGUGCUGACCCCUGCGAAUUCCUCAAAUGUGGGAAACUCAACUGCACGAUUUGUGGUAGUGGGGGACUGCAUUCGCGCUCUCCCCUG